GAAAGGCGCUUUCGGGUGUCGCUGAUGGAUGGACCCGCGGUGCAUUAGCUAGUUGGUGAGGUAACGGCUCACCAAGGCGACGAUGCAUAGCCGACCUGAGAGGGUGAUCGGCCACAUUGGGACUGAGACACGGCCCAAACUCCUACGGGAGGCAGCAGUAGGGAAUCUUCGGCAAUGGACGAAAGUCUGACCGAGCAACGCCGCGUGAGUGAAGAAGGUUUUCGGAUCGUAAAACUCUGUUGUUAGAGAAGAACAAGGAUGAGAGUAACUGUUCAUCCCUUGACGGUAUCUAACCAGAGAGCCACGGCUAACUACGUGCCAGCAGCCGCGGUAAUACGUAGGUGGCAAGCGUUGUCCGGAUUUAUUGGGCGUAAAGCGAGCGCAGGCGGUUUCUUAAGUCUGAUGUGAAAGCCCCCGGCUCAACCGGGGAGGGUCAUUGGAAACUGGGAGACUUGAGUGCAGAAGAGGAGAGUGGAAUUCCAUGUGUAGCGGUGAAAUGCGUAGAUAUAUGGAGGAACACCAGUGGCGAAGGCGGCUCUCUGGUCUGUAACUGACGCUGAGGCUCGAAAGCGUGGGGAGCAAACAGGAUUAGAUACCCUGGUAGUCCACGCCGU
rnacentral:rRNA from 1 species